GAUGUUUCUUCAGCUCAUGCUGUUUUGCUGGUGAAUUUGCUGCCAUUGUGGAACUUCUUCACAAAGCCAUUUCAGCCUGAAGGCAGUGAAGGAGAAUCAGCAGAGAGAACUGCAGAGCAGCCCUUUCUCAAAGGAGAGCAGCCCCAGCAAGUCCUGCUGGAUGCCAAAGGCUGGGAUACCACCAGCCACGUGCACCAUCAGGGACAGAGCUGCUGCUGGAAAGCAGUGCGUUCAACACUGGCAUUAGUGCCAGAGGAAGAGACCUGAGAUGGAUCCCAAACACCAACAGGAACUUUGCAUCUGAGCAUCACUGCUGACAAACUUGGGUGCUCUACUUGCAUGGCUGAUGGUGAAGACCCUCACAAUGCCAUUGAUAGAACGGAAGACCAAAUACCAGUAAAUCUCUGGUGAAGUAUUGAUCCUUGCACACUCCUCUCAAUUUGUUACCUUAAAGACCCAAUGUGGGGGAGCCCUUUAUGAGGUGAAAACCCACCUCCUCCCUCUAGAAAUAACCUGCAAAUGUGAUUUGCCUCACCAAGGGAUGUGUGCUAGUCUGUUCUUCAGAGAGCUCCUCUGACCUGAUGCUAAGCACCAUGUCACAUGAGUGCAGGCAUCACCACCUGUCCUGCACUGCCCAUGGGCAGUACCAAUGGCAGCACUUCACUGACUGCUGCAUGACCAAACCCAAAUUGUUUUCCCACAUCUGCUAUACCACUGAGGUUAAAAUUGGGCUCCGAUCAUUAAGGAUACCUUGAAAUGUGCCUUGUAUUCCAAUGAAAGAUUUUCAGCUGAAACUCCUUUUUACACCCCAAUUUGAUAGGAAAAAAAUGAGGCUUUCCUUAUCACGAUUGUACAGUAUGAAACAAAUUGCUUCACAUUAUGAUUCCCUCCACUUUAAAUUGUCCCAUUGUUUAGACUGGAGAUGGCUGACAGUUUCUUCAUUUAUCUUUCGUAGUCUAACACUGCAGUGGAAAUAUUCAAGGCAUUAGGCUGGUGCUGAUUUGUCAGCCUUGACCUUCUGCCACAUUAGCUCAUUGCAAACCUGACACUCUUCAUUUCGCAGCUGUAGAUUCUUUUCUGAGCUCUCUGAGUCAAGAUUAGCCACCACUGUUUAUGUGAACGAUAUAUGGGCAUGUAUCAAAAGCUGACAUACAAUGUUCUUUUUCACACCGGAACCUUUAUUCACCAACUUGUGUUCUACAACAGAAAUACAUCUUAUUGUUCCCAGCUCAUAACUAAAUUUAAUUGCUAUUUGUUUAAUCUCUGAUAUAUGUUACAGACUUUGCCUGCCUUAAUAAGAGCUGUUACACAACAGACCAGCCUAUACUUGAAAGGAGCAGUGAGUUCAUACUAUCCAGUGAUCAGAAUUAGCCUGUGUGGGGUAUGAUGGUGGUUUCCUCUAAAAAAUGAGGUUGGUCAGCUUUAGAUUCAGACAUGGUUUUAGGAGAGAUUUGCAAUUGUUGGAGCUGAGGUCUUAUUAAUCAGGCUUGCAAAUCUGAAGCUAACACUAGGGUGUAAGCACUUCUGUGAGUGCUGGAAAUUUAUCUGAUAUUCAAUUUAAAUUCAGUAAAUCUAAGUGCUUGUGCUAGAAAAGAAAGUUUUAGGUGGUUUGUGCAAAACCAAAGUGUUUUGGAAUCAGCUGAGGACUAGACUUCUGUAGGCAAAGGUCAUGAGCUGAACUAGAACUUUCCCACAGAGUUUUUCCCCUUGUUUUUGAAUGUCUUUUCCAAUCUAGAUGAUGUUAUGAUUCUAUGAUUUCAGCAGCAUUACCUAAUACUCAAGUUAAAGUUGUUGGUUUUACUUUCAUUGAGUGACAGUGACAAUAUUAUUUGAUUCAUAUUGUAUGGAGCAGAAGUAAAAAUAUACGAUCAUUUAGUAAAAGUUACUUUUGGAAUUAGUGUGUAUAAUUGAUUGUGAGCCAGGAAUAACUUUUAGAGUGGAGCCAGGAUCUCCUGCUUGACAGCUGGGCUGAGUGAUGAGUAUAAAGGGUUACAGCCUUUUCUAAUUGAGGCUCCUGCAUACAAACAGGGAGUGAACAUGUUUGGUCUGUUCAUGCUAUUCUUAGGCACUGCUGGUUGCCAUCUAGAGACCCACCAGCAUUGUGAUAUCUUGUUUAGAUAACAUCUUUUGUGGAAAAUUAAAAAAAAAAAGAAGGUUACUAGGAUGAUCAGGAAAGAUUUGGGUGAGUUGGGAAAUGAUUGCAGUCUACAGAAGCCUAAAAUCCUAUUGACUUUCAGAUGCCAGAAAGGCCUGCUCAUGUCUGCAAGAUGAGUUUCUCAUGGCUCUGUGAUGAUAAUGUGUUGAUCCUUAUCCAGCAUGAGCUAUCUACAUCAUCUUCCUUGACUGCUAAGCUCUCAGAGCAAACACUGCUGCUGAGGAACAAAAGUAAGGUUUUCAGACUCGUUUUGGGAAGAAUCUUUCUCAUCCACCACUGCAAGCUGUAGAGGAAAUCGAGUUCACCAACAAGUGUCUUCAUCCUGCUCUGGAGCAGAAGAAAACCGUGAUUACCUGGCAGCCAUUAGUUUACCUGUAGUGGGAGGUAAGGAUGGUAAUUCCCCGCAAGAAUGUUUCACAUCUUUUCUCUAACUCAAAAUAAUAUAUUAAUCUCUAUUACCAUUUUAAUCCAUGCAAAACAGAGAUGAGGGGAUGCAACAUUUUACUCAUUUCCCAUUUUCCAGUAACUGUAAUUUACAUUGAGCAGUAAAUUGCCAGACAAUUGAAAAUAGCACAAAGUAAAUGCUUCCUAAAAUGCUUUAAUAUGAGAGCUAGUAGCUGUAAUGUAAGUUUCCUGUUAACUCGGUUCACUCUAAAGUGAUAGUUAAUUGGAUAAGGAAGGUAUGUAUUCAAAUAUGCCUAAACUUAAUAAACCUGUCUGGAGAGGACGGUAUUAGUGGAAAGCCACAGACCUUUUAGCUUGUUUGUGCAUAAGCACCUUUGCUAACCAUAGAACUUGUAUGAUUUAGGUGCCAUUAUUCUUUUUGUCAACAUGCAGACAAAUUCUAGUAGUAGUGGAAAACCUAAAAAUAUUAAGUUUACUUAAUAAAACCUAUUAAAAUGGGUGGCAUGGAACUGAAUUAUUUCAGCUGGAAUAUAUACACCGGGGAAAAGCAAGAUCUUGAAUAUUCACAUUACAGCUCAUUGAAAAGGCAAUGGGCUAUGCAACAAGAUUGACAACAAAGGGAAAAAUGAUGAGGAAAAUUGCCUUACUUAUCUGCUAGAGUGCUCUUGACUGCCAACUGUAAUUUUAUGGUUCAUUAUAUAAAAAAAUACCAUUAAUGUUAGUACUUGUGUAUCAUAAUCAUACAAAGAAGGGAAAAAGUUCAUUGAAAUGUGCUCCAUUUUUAAUCAAGACACUAUAAUUGUGUGUUUUUCAGGCACCAUCAAUUUCCAUCAAUUUUACUGCUGCAAAAAUAAUGUGCUGCUGUAGUUCUUCCAAAGGUCAAUUUCUGCAUGAGGUAUAUCGACUGCAGGGAUGUAAACUGUAAAUAAACAGCUGCAUAAUUUAUCUUCUUUGAUAUUACUUGAUUCAUCAUGAGCUUUAAGUUGAUCAGCAAAGAAAAUGGAAUCACUGCCUUGAAAUUUCAUGGUGCAUCAGAUAACUUAGAAAUGAUAGGGACUUUGGUUAUAUAAAUGUUGCUAUAUAGAAUGUCAGGCAACAGCCAAUAUUAGCAUUGCAGAGCCAAUAUUACACAGCAAAUGUAUCUGUCAACCUCUCUGUGUGCUUUUACUAGUUUUGAAAAUCCCAGAAUGGAUCGAGUUGUCUGAAGCACUGGCAGGUUCUCAUUGCAAUGUGUGCCGUGCAGUGAGGGAUAUCUGGUAUUACCCCAAAACUGUGACCAUCUGAAACUUUAGUUCCUUGCACCUAUGGGGGAACAAUGGGGCUAUUAUGACUUGUCCUUUGUUGUUUUUUGUUUUAUUUGGUUGGUUGGUUGGUUUUUAAAGGGGACAGUGCAUGAUACAGGGAAAUUUGGAGCAUGCAGAUAGUUUCGUGCAGAACAAGUUUUCAGAAUUAGUAAUGCUUGUGUUAUUUCAGUACAGUGUCAAGGACCAAGCGUAGUCAGAGGAGAUUCUGUGCCCCAAGGACUUUCUUCUCAAGAACACGGAGAUGAUUCCCAGAUGAUAAUUUUCCCAGCUAGGGGCUGUUCAGGCUGUCUUUAUUCCAUAGCUCUGUGAUAGAUAGGCCUUGAGAAAUUGCUGCACUUUUCUCUUGGGAGCACACUCUUGAGUUUUCAAGCCUGGGUGUGGCAAUUUCUGUUUAGACUUCACAAUUGGCCACUGGAGAACAUAGAGUCCAUGGCAGAUAUCUCAGUGCAGACUCUUAAGUCUGUCUUUUGUCUACUGGGACAGAAUUCUGAAGAGUGGUCUGUCCCCUUGGUUAAAGCAAGAAAGGCAGCGUUAAGUUUCUUAACUUCAUAACACUCCCUCUCAGACUACUUCAGUCACAGCUUAUUUGCAUCACCUGGAAGAGGCAGUGGUACACACUACAGCCACAAAGAAAAUAAUUUUCUCCCUAUUAUCUGUCUUUAACAAAGCAGGAAAAUCCCAAUAUGCUGGAAAAGGCAUCUGCUGGGUAACUUAUGUUAGUGCAAAGGGGUCAUCGAGCCAGCAUUGCUGGGUCAGUACAUUUGUGUAACAUGUCAUCUGUACUGGUGUAAGACACUAUUAGAAUUGUGUUGCUUUGAUGACAUAUUACUUGAUGAAAUAAGAUCAGCUGUCAAAAACCCAUUCCAGUGUCUGAGGCACUCAAUGUUUUGUUGGGGGAAAAGGUUUGUUUCAUUCCUGAAAAAAAUGCAUUAUUCAGUAUGGAGAACUGAAGGGCAGUCAGGCUGAAGCUGAGAGGCUUCAUGAAGGCAGACAAGUCCCCUUGAAAUCCCACUGCUUAGCCAGGGUGGUAGGGCCUAGGGCAUGGGGAGCAGUCUCUGUCCCUGGAGGUGCUCCAGUACUGAUGUGGCACUGAGGGACAUGGUCAGUGGGCAUGGUGGGGAUGGGUUGGGGUUAGACUUGAGGAUCUCAAUGGUCUUUGCCAACCUUAACGAUUCCAUGAUUCUGUGAUCUCCUGCAGCUCAUCAAUAGACCUGAAAUAGCUGAAAUAAUGCACACAUUUAUGCCUAUUUGGGGAUAAAUGUCACCACAGACCUAACACCUUCACAGCGUCCCAUCCAGCAGCAGAUGCUGAGCAGCAUAAUGCAGAACAGAAUCUCCCUUUUCCUGCCCCACCAGAAGGGAAUGUCUGGGAUAAUGCCUUGCAAAUCUCGCCAUGAAAACAUGCCAUUAUUCCCCGUGUAUGAUUAGUCUUUCAUGCUUCCCUUGUUACAAAUACGUAACACAUGCUACGGCACAGAAUGUGAUAAUGUAUUCUAAUGCGAUCUUUAAUGCUGAUAUUUAAAAACCUGUUCCUGAGUAGCACAAUUUGAGUUUCACACGAAUGUACCGCUACCAUUUUUUCCUGUUUUAAAGCACAAAGUCUUUCCGGCAAAAGGUAGGCAUUAUGUCAAUCCGCUUUUGCUCCUUUCUUCCUUCAGUUAUGUGCAGUUAAAUGUUUUCUUCAUCUUCUAGGGGGAAAAUGAAUGAAUUAUUCUAGAACAAUGCACACCGCAGUGUGUGUUUGUGUGUAUUGGUGAGUCAAAACGCAAACAUUGAGAGAAGACAUUCUCAUUUGUUUCCAUCCCAGUUUUAAGUGAUAUUUUAGGAAGCAAUCAUAAUAAAGAGAGCUGAAGGAGCUGAAGGAAUUAUUUCUCAGUUAGACAGCAGCCUGCUGUUAUCUCUAAUCUAAGAGGCACUGGAUAGAGGUCAUCGUUUGAUCAAUGAGGUGAAUUUCAUUUUAUGGUGCUGAAAACAGACAGAGAAUGGUACAAUCGAGUGCUUUCAAAAAGAAAACAGAAGCAGUAAGAGAGUGAUGGAAGAACCGUAACAAAAAUAAACAGGUUUAUUGCUAUAUUAAGCCUGUUUUACAAGGACUCCAUAGUGCAGAAAGAGGAUGUCACCCAACUGUAGCCCCCCAUAUAGACAGGAUUUAUAGACACGUUGACUGUCUUGUGGACAAAUGGGGUUAAUGCGGUACACUGCUACAUUCAAAGAUUAUCUCCCAUAAAGGAUAAGCAAUUGAGUUUCCACACUGAAGCAGUAAUGCAGUGUGACUUUCAGGAGUCCCCACGCAGAGGUGCUGGCAGCAUUGACACUUCCUUGCUGUCCGAAGUGCAGUGUGUUCCUCCGCAGUGGGUUAUCUCCACGGUGCUUUUUGCCAUCUCCAGCUUUUGCAGGUGCUCAGGGUGCAAUGCAGACUGGCCAGGUUUUACUUGCAGCACUGUCUGAAAUGGAUUGAGAAGCCUGAGUUAAUCGUUUCCUAUUGAGGUUUUAUAGCUCAUUCGGAGUAUUGAGCACAGGCAUGUUGUCAUGGUAAUUGAGCAAUUAUUUCAUGUAUAAAUCUAGACCAUAUCAUAGAUGAACCUUAAACCAGCAUCUGCUCUUCCAUUCAAGAGCAGUAAAAGGGGCAGUGCAUUCCUCGUGCUUUUGAUGUCCUGCUUACGAGUGGCUGUCUGGGAAGAAGUUAAAAAUACUUCCUCACAAAAUACUGAAUUUCACAAUAAAAACAAUUGAUUACAUCCAUUGGAAUGAUCCAUCGUGGAGCAUCAUGGAGAAAGAUAACUUUUGGCAGAGGAAGCGAGGCAACCAAUAUUGAUAAAAGCAAGUAGAUGAGCAGGAGGAAAAGAUUGCUCAUAUAUAGAGAAGGAUAAAUGGAUUUGAUAAACGUAUGUACCAGAAAAAUGGACAACCAUGUAUCUGUCACGGUAUCAGGAAAUGCUAUGAUUCUGAGUGCCUGACUACUACUGGUGUCUCGGUUGUAAAAGGAAGUCAGACUGGAGGAGUUCCUUGGUUAAGGUGGUAAGAGGGAGAUUUUUUUUCCAGAGGAAAACCUUACAUUGUAUCUGAGCAAUCAAUGGGAAGCUAAAGAGCACAUGCUGUCAGCACAGAUUAAUCUGGAAUUCCUUCACCUCUUCAGAUCCUUGUGCAUCAAACAUUAGUUUGCAUCAAAAGUUGGAACAGUGACUCAAAGAUCUCAGGAGUUCACAAAACUACAAGAGCAAAUCAAGGAAAAUGCCUCCCAUUUCUAUGGCCUGCAGACUUCAAAACCUGUAAUUGUGCUGGAAGUCUUUGAUCUCACCAUUACUCCUCUGUCGACUUUGAAGUCAAAAGGAUAGGGUUAUUGCAGUGGGAUCCUGAUGUGUCAAGUGUUAAUUCCCCGCAGCCACAUUCAAGGCACACCGUAUUAGCUACUGACCACUAAGUGCUAAAGGGUGUAACCACAUGUAGAGUUUUCCUCCUGCUCAGGGUUUCACACAUCAGUAGUUUCAGUGCACAGUUUGUUACUAACAGAGAGGUCACUGCAGACCACUGAUGCAUAGGACCUCAGGAAUGUGUUUUCUGGGACAAACGGGCAAUUAUGUAUUUUUAAUAAUCAAUUCUUACAGCUGAGCAAGAGUUAAAACGAUGUCAAAAACUAACCUGAAUAGUAGCAAAUGUUAUUUUUGGAACCUAGGAGGGAGCCCAGGGAAGAGGAGGGAUGAGCAGAGGCUGGCACAUGGGGAGCUGUGCCUGCUGACCCCUGGCACGGGACCUAACUGCUGCAGGUUGGUACCAGCAUCUCCUUCAUGCAGCAGAUGAGAAAGAGAAAAAUGGAAAGUGAUUCAUUUAUAUGGCUUGUAAAAUAUUUAUUUGUGUGCUGUGUUUGAGGAGAAUCGAUCUCUGGAGAGUGUGAGGUUUCUCCACCUCAGACAAAUUAGGUUGGAAGUAAGAGGUGAGUGGAGUGAAAUGGCACUGAGCUCUGAUCACCGGAGGGGUGAGACCACAGUAGGACUGAGCCACGAGGUCCUGAGCCAGCACCUGUAGCUUUUGACUUCACUGGAUGUAAACUUUAGAUCUUUCAGUAGACUUGGUCUUCAGUGACUUGCCUUAAGUGUUAUGUUAAAGCGAGGUAAAUAAUGUCAGCGGCAAAAUGGUUUAUUCUUUUUAUUUCCACCAUUAUUUUUCAGUGUGUGUUGAAGGAGAAUACAGCAGUGAGCACAAGAAUUCUUGCUUUGUUCCUCCACAGAGCCCCAUCGCUCCACAGCAUCGCUCCUAACUUUUGUCAUGCUGCAAUGAAGCAUCCCUGGAGUUCUGCAAUGGUUCCUAUGUGGCUGGAGUGGCUUUCUUAUUUCAACCUCUUGAGCAUCGAUUGUUGAGUCGCUUCCUCAUCAUUAAAAGCUCGUCAGGGACAAGCUCUGGAGUUCAGAAGCUCUGUGCAGUCACCACGGCCUUCGGAUGCCCCAAGGGCACCAGCAGAGAGGAACGAGUGUGGCGAGAGCGCAGGCAGCUGUGAGCACACUGCAAUGUCAUUGCUGAUAUCUUCUCUGUGUUUUUAAAUACCAGUACAACAAAUGCCAGCACUGAACCAGAGGGAAAACUGAUGGCAUUCGGGGAUCACUGAAUGGAGGACUGGGCAUUCAGAGCUUCAUACUGCCCAGCAGUGAGAAGCAGACAUACGCUUUGCUGAUCUCAUGUACUCCUCCACCAUAAAAAGCUGCUCGCAGUUACAGUGAUGUUUCUAGAAGGUGAGUAUAUGUAUGUCAGGAGAAAAAAUAACACUUGCAUUGAAGGAUGAUUUAAGAUUAUUCUUCCACACUUCUGUAUAAGAUUGGAUCUAUUGUAACCUUCCUAAACCUUUGUUACCUUUGUAAUUUAAACUGACAGGUUAAAUGCUAAUGCAAUUGAUAGGGGUGAACAACUGGUCAAGGAACAACCUGAUCUGACUGUAUAAUGCAUCGGAGAAUUGCAAAAAUAUGCAGGUCAGAUGUAAUUUUGACAGAAAAUGGCUCGCUGCAAGGGUUUAUGUUUCCCUGGAUAGUCUUAAAAAGAGUUGGACUCUAGUAAGUACCACAUUGCUUGAAAAAAAUACAAAGUUAAACUUAAUGGAAAAAAUC